rnacentral:rRNA from 1 species
UCAUUCUGAAGAUUAAGCCAUGCAUGCCUACGAUUAGAACGUAUUAGAAGCAUCGAAUCUGCGAACGGCUCCGCAUAUCAGCUGCGAUUCAUGGAUGGUCAAAAUGCUCUAGAUGGAUACCCCCGGUAAUUCUGAGGCUAAUACAAGGUAAACAGGUCCCCGAUCUCGGUUGAAAGUCCCCCCUCUGGGGGGGGCCGGAUUCCGGGAAUUCAAAAGGGGAUACCCGCACGGAAUCCAUGAGAGGAAGUGCGGGACAACCGGCUCGACUCGAUUAGAUAAAAGAGCCCAGGCUCCUUAAAAGGACGAAAAUUAUUUUUUUUUUUUUGCCCAAACCCCCCCCCCCCUUUAAAAAAACCCCCCAAAAGCCCCCCAAAGGGGGAAAGGGGGGUUUUUUUUUUUUUUUUUUGGGGGACCAAAAGUUUUGGGUUUUUUUAAAAGGGGGGGGGGGGAUUUUUUUGAUCCUGGGAACAAAAGGGAUAAGGAGACCUUUUUUUAGGCGGAGAAAUUUUUUUUUUUCUCUUUUGCCAGACGAAUUACUGGAUCAGUCGGUUCCUAUUCUGUGGGCUUCUGACCUAUCAACUCACGAUGACGGUCUCAGUUACAAACAUGGUCGCAACGGGUACAGAGGAUAAGGGUUUGAUUCUGGAGAGUGGGCCUUAAAAAUUGCUCAUACUUCUAAGGAAGGCAGCAGGCGCGUAACGUUCCCAAUGGAUAAAGUCUGAGGGCGUGAAGGAAAAUAGGAAUGUCCCCCUAAAUUUACGGGGGACAAUUCCAAUGUGGUCGGCGUAAAAAACCGGCUCGAGUAACAAUUAGAGGACAAGUCUGGUGCCAGCACCCGCGGUAAUUCCAGCUCUAAUAGUGUACCUUAAAGUUGCUGCAGUUAAAACGCUCGUAGUCGGAACCAGGACCCCACCCUGGGGCGCAAGGAACGGGCCUAGUUUUGGGACCCGGGAAUAGUACUGGGGGGGGGGGGAGGAAUUUUUUUUUCCAUCCCCCCCCCGGGAACUUUCUGGGAACAAUCCCCGUGGUCGCAGUGCCCCGCGCCCCUUGGGGACCUUAUUAAUUAUCGGUCGGAACCUACUCCAAACCGCUUCCCCGGCCCGGCCCCCUUUAUUGGGGACUGGAUCAGCUCCGGGGUCGUGGGGGGACUGGCCUUAAUUACCAUGAGAAAAAUAGCGCGAUCCAGGCAGGUCACUACGACCUAAGCAAAAAAAUUCUGAAUAAUUUAGCAUGGGAUGACAGAGUCUAACUCUGGGCUUUUUUCCCGGACCUCCGCUGCCCCCCAUCUCAGGACUGAAACCCGGGGAAACCCGGGUGGAAACUAGGGGGGGAUUUUGCUGGGGGACCAAUCCGGGAGGGAAUGCAAUGGAUCUAUAGGGGUACUCGGGGGCAGCCGAAUUGCGGGGCUAGGGGUGAAAUCCGUUGACCCCCGCAAGUCGACCUAACGCGAAAGCAGCUGUCAAGGGUUCACCCGUUGAUCAAGAGCGAAAGUUAAGGGUUCGAAGACGAUCAGAUACCGUCGUAGUCUUGACUAUAAAUGAUACCGACCAGGGAUGGGGGAUCCGUCCCUUAUUUCAGACUCCCCCCGAAUCUUAGCGAAAGUACCAGUCUAUGGGUUCCGGGGGGAGUAUGGUCGCAAGGCUGAAACUUAAAGGAAUUGACGGAAGGGCACACCAGGAGUGGAGCCUGCGGCUUAAUUUGACUCAACACGGGGAAACUCACCGGGUCCGGAUACAGUGACGAAGGACAAGCUGAUAGACUUUUCUAGAUUCAGUAAGUGGUGGUGCAUGGCCGUUCUUAGUUCGUGAAGCGAUUUGUCUGGUCGAUUCCGAUAACGAGCGAGAUCCGAUCCGUUUAAAAUAGGGCGCCUUUCCGUUUCGGGAAAUCAACCCCGGGAUCCUGGUUCUCCGUCCCCGCCUUGUGGAACGGUCCUGGUCCCCCCCUUUCCGGGGGGGGGCCGUGGGCCCGGAAGCAUCGAGGGGGGCGGGUUCUGGGUGAAGUAAAGGGUCCCGAUUCAUCGCGAAAGUGUCGUUUUUACCUAAAAAAAUUUCUUCUUAGAGGUAUCAUGGCUAACAAAGCCAUUUGAAAUUCGGGCAAUAACAGGUCUGUAAUGCCCUUAGAUGUUCCGGGCCGCACGCGCGCGACAAUGCAAAAGAGAGAGAGUUUUCCGGUAGCAAUAUCGGACUUUUUUUCUUCUAGAACCCCGGCCCAGAGGCCCGCGGGAAAUCAUCAAAUUUUUACACAUCAGGGAUAGACCCUUGUAAUUAUUGGUCUUGAACUCGGAAUUUCUAGUAGUCGCGGGUCAUCAACCCGCGACGAUUUUGUCCCUGCCCUUUGUACACACCGCCCGUCGCUGCUACCGAUUGAGCUGAGUGAUUACGGUUCUGGAUCUGGGUCGGAAGUCGGGGUAAAACCUGGCGGAAGUCUCGGAGAAGGUCCAUUUAUCUCUCAG